ACGGAGGAAAAGAAACCAACAGGGAUUGCCCUAGUAACGGCGAGUGAAGCGGCAACAGCUCAAAUUUGAAAUCUGGCCUCGGCCCGAGUUGUAAUUUGCAGAGGAUGCUUCUGGCGCGGUGCCUUCCGAGUUCCCUGGAACGGGACGCCACAGAGGGUGAGAGCCCCGUAUGGUCGGACACCAAGCCUGUGUGAAGCUCCUUCGACGAGUCGAGUAGUUUGGGAAUGCUGCUCUAAAUGGGAGGUAAAUCUCUUCUAAAGCUAAAUACCGGCCAGAGACCGAUAGCGCACAAGUAGAGUGAUCGAAAGAUGAAAAGCACCUUGAAAAGGGGGUUAAAUAGUACGUGAAAUUGUUGAAAGGGAAGCACUUAUGACCAGACUUGGGCCGGGCGGCUCAUCAGGGGUUCUCCCCUGUGCACUCCGCCCGGCACAGGCCAGCAUCGGUUUUCGCGGGGGGAUAAGACCGGCAGGAACGUGGCACCCUCCGGGGUGUGUUAUAGCCUGCCGGACGAUACCCUCGCGGGGACCGAGGUCCGCGCUCCGCAAGGAUGCUGGCGUAAUGGUCAUCAGUGACCCGUCU
rnacentral:rRNA from 1 species